rnacentral:lncRNA from 1 species
CUCUCUCUCUCUCUCUCUCCAUUUUCUUCAGGGACACUGGUUUUCAUCUCUUCCUUUUCCAUCGCUUUCAUCCUCUCAAACCUCCAUUUUCCCACCAGAUCAAAAAUCAAAUCGCUUCUCAAUCGUCCUUAGGAAUCAACUACAAUUAAAUCUACAUAAAAAGGGGAUCAUUUAUUUGUGGGCAUCAUUUGAUUUGUUAUUCCCCAAUUUGUUAGGGUUUUUCUGAGUUAUCGAAGCCUCAAUCGAUAAAUCCUUGUUGGGUCGCCUUUGUUUUAUAACAAAAGAUCAUCGGACGACGUGUUUUUGGUUUUGGUUUGAGUUUGGGUUUCGGCUCCGUUUUGUUAUCUCCAAUCCACGGCGUCGUCCGAAACCGAUGAGCCUGAGAAUCGAGCUAUAAAGCCAUCAAAUUCGAUACCAUUAGAACCUCUGAUGCUUUCAUCGUUGUGUAACCUGGAACGAUUUUUGCAAUCGAUUGCACCUUUUGUGUCUGCUCAGUAUCCCUCCAAGGUUUAUUCUUUUUUCAUCCAUUUCCUUUGAUUCAGGUGAGGAACAAGUUCUAGAAGAAGAUGAUGGGAGCGUUUCACGACUGAAAAUCAAAGAGGAGACAGUUGGGGUCGAUUUUUCGGAGAUAGGAGGGUGAAGGGAUGGGUGUUUGGUGGUGUCUUGCGGUGGCUGAGGAACAACUCCAACUAUAACAGUAGCGGGGGCUUUUGGUUGUUGUUUGUUUGACAGAACAGAAGGAAGUGGAUGGUUAGAGUGGUGGUUUCUGGUGGAUAUAGUGGUGGUGAGUGGUGAAGUGGUGGUGUAACAUCCCAAAAUACAGGCCAAAAGUUUCAUUUUUUUUAAAUAGGUCAAUUCAUAAAAACUUCGAUAUAAAAUUUUCAUAAUAAAGCUUCAUGUCUGAAAACCAGCCACAUCAUAAUAAUAUGUCAGAGUACAUCCCAGAAAAAUCCAUAAUGUGGAAAACAAGAGUGUGUGUGUGUGUGUGUGUGUGUGUGAUAUGUCGCUUCCGUGCCAGCUCCUUCCCCCUAUCUAAAGAGGUACCUGAAACCAACACAGUAAAUUGUAAGCACGAAGCUUAGUGAGUUCCCCCAUAAUACCUUAUACCAUGCAACCAUAUAAUGAACAGCUAGGAGAUAUGGGCCUCGCCCACACUCCGCUAUCUGGGAGAUACGGGCCUCGCCCACACUCCGCUAUCUGAGAGAUACGGGCCUCACCCACACUCAGCUACUAAGCCACAACAUACAAGUAUCACACAGACAACGAGCAUAAACAAUUCUAUCAUACUAGCAUAUAUCAUAAUCAAACUCAACUAUGAGAUACGUGCUCUGCCCACACUCCGAUACUACAUAUCAUCUAUACGGGCCGACCUUGGUGCCUUAGACCCAUUCCUACUGGAAGGAAACUCACCUCGAAAAGUAGCUACCGAAAGUCUGCCUGCUAGACGUCUGACUGUUGUACCGGUAAUCCUCCGGCUAAUAAAUCCAUAAACAUAGAUUAGUUACUCAUAAAUACCCUUAGGUCAAAUGACUGACCUACCUCUGGUCCAAGGUCAACUCCUUGGUCAAAGUCAACUUCCAGUUAACUAGACUCGCCGAGUCCCUCUCCUACUAUCCCAGUUCUACUCAUCAAGUCCCUCUUCCCACUCACUGAGUCACCCUUAACUUACUACUAGGGACGAUUAGACUGACUCGUGAUCUGACUCGCCGAGUCCGAGAACAACUCGCCGAUUCCCACGAGCAGAUCUCCUACUCGCUUCCAAAUGCUCACCAGAGCAUCCACCUUGAGGAUUUGGUUUCUGAGACUAUUGCUACACGUUAAAUUGCUAACUCCGCGUGCAGCUACGAAGGGUUGGACCUUCUACACUUAAACCCUCCUUAACUCAGUAACAGCUCAUAUGACUCGCCGAGUUUGAAGAACAACUCGUCGAGUUCCAGGCAAUCUUCAUAGGACUCGCCGAGUUGUUCAUCCAACUUGUCGAGUCUAAGACCAUCUUCAUAGAACUCGUCGAGUCCAAUUUGGAACUCGCCGAGUCCCUUCAGGCCUCCUCCCAUACAGACCAAAUCUGAGACAUGCAACGGUUCCAAACCAUAAAUCUAGGCUCCUAGGGCAUGCUUAUCACGUAAAGUUGCAAACUUUACGUGCAUGCAUGGCCCUAUGAGCUCCAAAAGGCAAUUCCAAGCUCUUUAUGAGGUCAUACACUCAAUAGGGACCUUAAUCACUUCAACCACAGAGACUUUAUACUUUUAAGACGUCCAUAAGGUCCAGAUUUGAAGUCCUUUCAGAACAUAGAGCAUAAACACAUGGAGUUUGAGGUUUUAGGGCUUGAAAACCACUAAUUAGGGACAAAAGGGGGAUCUAAUGAACUAGUGAUCAAGGUAGGAACUUUUCUACCUGAAUGGAAGCUCCCCACAGUGUAGAUUCUGGAUCUACCUCCCCUCCUUGCACUCUUCAACCUCCUCCUUCUUCUUCUAAGCUCCAAACUUCCUUCACAAAGCCAAAANUAAGUUAGAGCGUUUAAAUAAGGUGCAAACACCCGGGUUAGGGUUUUUGCCCAGACAGGGUCUACUCGCCGAGUCCACAGCUUAGACCCCGCGUCUUAUCCUGCUUCUACUCGGCGAGUUGGUCCUUCAACUCGCCGAGGCCAAUGCCAAAAAUGCAAUAUUUAAAGAGUUAAUUACAAAGAAUACGUACCAAGAACCAGGUGCUACAAAUCUCCCCCACUUAUUUUAGACUUCAUCCUCGAAGUUUGCUGCUCGUCCCUGAAACAGCUCGGGGUAGUGCUCCAUCAUCUCUUCCACCGGCUCCCAAGUCCACUCCGAUCCAUUCCGGUACUGCCAUUGCACCUUCACGAGUUCCACCCUCUUGUUCCUCAAAUCCUUCGACUUCCGGUCGAGGAUUGCUACUGGCCUCUCAAUGUAAUUCAAGCUGUCAUCGACCUAUAUAUCCUCCAAAGGCACCACUGCCGAGUCGUCCACCGGACACUUCCGCAACUGAGAGACGUGGAAAGUGUUGUAGAUCUGGCUGAGUUCGGCUGGCAGAUCCAACCUAUACGCCACCUUGCCCACCGGGCUAAUACCCGGAACGGUCCAAUAUACUUGGGGCCUAACUUGCCCCGCUUCCUGAAUCGGAUAACACCUUUCCAAGGCUACACCUUCAGGAGAACCAUGUCUCCAACCUGAAACUCUAAGUCUGAUCGGUGCUUGUCGACAUAACUUUUCUGCCGACUCUGAGCAUUCUGAAGUCUGCUACGGACCUGCUGAAUCCUCUCGGUUGUCUUGAGAACCACUUCGGUGCUCCCCAUGACCCUCUGGCCAACCUCUCACCAACAUAUCGGGGUCCUACACUUUCUCACAUACAACAUCUCAAAGGGGGGACGGUCAAUACUCGCAUGAUAACUAUUAUUAUACGAGAACUCCGCCAACAGAAGGUAGGUAUCCCAACUACCUCCGAAAUCCAAAACACAAGCCCGCAACAUAUCCUCUAAUGUUUGGAUGGUCCGCUCGCUCUGACCAUCUGUCUGCGGGUGAAAAGCAGUGCUGAAAUGCAGACGAGUACCCAACUCGUCAUGAAACUUCUUCCAAAACCUGGAAGUAAAACGCCCAUCCCUGUCUGAAAUCACUGACACUGGCACCCCGUGCCGCGCCACUAUCUCCCUGAUAUAGAUGUCGGCCAACUUCUCGGGCGAGAUACUCUCCUGAAUUGGAAUAAAAUGGGCGAUCUUGGUCAAUCGGUCCACGAUGACCCAUAUCGAAUCCACUCCUCGCGCGGUCCUGGGAAGCUUCGUGAUAAAAUCCAUUGUAAUAUCUUCCUAUUUCCACAACGGGAUAUCUAACGGCUGCAUCUUACCGUGUGGUGUUUGGUGCUUGGCCUUGACCUUCCUACAGGUCAAGCAACGCUCCACGUACCAGGCUAUAUCCCGCUUCAUGCAGGGCCACCAAUAAUCCAAACGAAGAUCCCUAUACAUCUUCGUUGCCCCAGGAUGAAUGGAGAAUCUAGACUUGUGCGCCUCUCCCAUCAGAACUUGGCACACGCCUCCAUGGUACGGCACGCACACCUUACGGUGUAGUGUCAACAACGCUCGACUGUCAUAGUCGAAAGAGGAAAUCUGACCCAUAAUCCUCUCACUCUUCCGAUGUUCCUCCUUCAUCGCCUUCUGCUGAGCCUCCCGAAUCUGCUCUAGCAGCGGGGUUACCACUUUCAUCCUCAGACAGACAUCCCUGAUCGGUGCUGCCUUGCGGCUAAGCGCAUUGGCCACCACAUUGGCCUUCCCCGGGUGGUAAAGGAUCUCACAAUCAUAAUCCUUCACCACAUCAAGCUAUCGACGUUGUCUCAUGUUCAGAUUUGGCUUAUCCAUAAGGUACCUCAAGCUCUUGUCGUCUGUGUAGAUCGUACAACGAACCCCAUAGAGGUAAUGACGCCAAAUCUUAAGGUUGAACACCACAGCCCCAGCUCCAAAUCAUGUGUCGGGUAAUUCGCCUCGUGNCUAAAUCAUGCGUCGGGUAGUUCGCCUCGUGAGGCUUCGACUGUCUCGAGGCGUAAGCAAUGACAUGCCUUCUUUGCAUCAAUACAACACCCAUGCCUGAUAUAGACGCGUCGCAAUAAACAACGAAAUCCUCCACGCCCUCUGGUAGGGCUAAGAUUGGCGCCUCGCACAAUCUCUGCCUCAACGUCUCAAACGUCGCCUGCUGCUCAGGCCCCCAUCGGAAGACUACGACCUUCCUCGUUAGCCGCGUCAAGGGUACAACUAUCUUGGAGAAAUCCUAGAUAAAUCUCCGAUAGUACCCUGCCAACCCCAGGAAACUCCGAAUCUCAGAUGGAGACUUCGAAACCUCGCACCUCAUCACGACCUCCACCUUGGCCGGAUCCACCGAAAUCCCGUCCUGGUUGACAAGGUGCCCGAGAAACUGCACCUUGUGCAACCAGAACUCACACUUAGAGAACUUAGCAUAUAAUCUCUCCCUCCUCAUGGUCUCUAACACCUCUCGCAGAUGCCCCUCGUGCUCCUCCUGCGUCUUGGAAUAAACCAAGAUGUCAUCAAUGAAAAAUAUCACAAACCGGUCCAACAUCAGUCUGCACACGCGGUUCAUGAGGUCCAUGAACGCGGCAGGAGCAUUGGUGAGCCCAAACGACAUCACCACGAACUCAUAAUGGCCAUAGCGUGUCCGGAACACGGUCUUCUGCNUAACCCGCAUGAUGGUACCCCGAAAGCAUAUCAAUCUUGGAGAACCAAGAUGCUCCCUGCAGCUGGUCGAAGAGGUCAUCAAUCCUCGAGAGUGGGUAACGGUUCGUCAACGUCACCUUAUUCAGCUCUCGGUAAUCUAUACACAUCCGGUGCGACCCAUCCUUCUUUUUCACAAACAGAAUCGGGGCUCCCCAGGGUGAACUACUCGGUCUAAUGAAUCCCUUGUCCAUCAGCUCCUGCAGCUGUGUAGACAACUCCUGCAUCUCAGGAGGAGCCAACCGAUAUGGUGCAUUGGCUAUCGGAGCCCCACCAGGGACUAGGUCGAUCCCGAACUCCACCUGUCGUUCCGGAGGUAUCCCAGGCAACUCCUCGGGGAAUACAUCCGCAAACUCUCAAACCAUGGGCACAUCGCCCAUUGUCGCCUUACCCGCCUCUCGGGUGUCCAUGACAUAAGCGACAUAUCCUGCGCAACCCUACUGAAGGUAACACCUCGCUCUCGCUUCCGAGCAUAAGGUUGUCCCUCGCUGUGGUCUCUCACCCUGAAUCACUAACUCUCCCCCACUUGGGGCUCUGACUCGCACUAGCUGCUGCACGCAGUCUAUCACUGCCCCAUUGGGGCUCAGCNACCUUGUUCCCCCACAAAGGUAUGGGAACCAGAUCCACCAGAUAACGCUCUUCAAACAAUCUCAAUACACAAUCCCGGAAGACCUCUGAUGCUCGCACCGACCGAUCGUCUGCAAUCUCAACCUCUAGAGGGCAAUCCAACAUGCCCGAGGACUCAGGAAACUUCUUGCUAAGUGCAAGAGAAACAAAUGAUCGAGUACCCCCCGAAUCAAACAACACCUGAGCUGGGAUACCAUUCACGUGGAACGAUCCUAAACAUGGCACAAACUGUUGGAUUAGUGUCUAAGUCCAUAACUAUUUUAGUAUGUACUUGACCCGAUGGUGCAUGGUCCUUUUGGGUUGCCUUCACCAAAGCAACUUGAUUGGAGAAAUAAAUAGAGAGAGAGGUUAUUAUGAUUUAUUAAUAUGUUAUAAGAAUAAUAUAUUAAAGGAGAAAUCAUAUUUGUUUAAUUAAUAUUGGUCAAUAAUUAAUUAAGAAUUAAUUUUGUGAUCAAAUGUAAUUAAUUAAACUAGAGGGGCUGAAUUGUAAUUAUGUGAUAGUUGCAAUAUAAGGUAAGGAUUAUCUUAUAUAUAUGGUGAACGAAUUUGAGGUGUAAAUCCCUUAGAAUUCGACUAGGAUAAGGAUUUCUAGGACUUAUCUUAUGGUUGCUUGGUGGACAAGCAACUAGAUAAGGAUAAGGACUAAAACCCUAAUCUUUACACCUAUAUAAACCCCCUAAGGCUCAUGAAUUCGUCUAACCCUUCCCAAGAAGUCCUAAGGACGAAUUCUAACCUCCCUCCUCUCUCUUUAUACCUUCUCCACUUGCUUAUGGUGUUUGUAAGCCAUUAGAGGAGUGACACUUGUGACUCUCAGCCUUCCAAAGUCAAUUCAAGGAGGAAUUGGAAUUGUUAUUGCUACAUAACAAUCAAGGUAAUAUCUUAAACCUAAUUAUAUGUUAAUAUUGAUUUCCAUAUGCUAGAAUUAGGGUUUAUAGUCUUGGAUUCAAAGCAUGUACAAUAGAGAAACCUAGAUCCAAGCAUUAGGGUUUGUAUGAGCACAUAGGAUGUCUUAUGACCAAAACAAACAUGUAACAUAUCAAAAUCACAGCAGCAUAAAAUAAAAGUAUAGAUAAGAAAUUAUACCCAUCACCACAUCGGGUGUGGCGCGUGCCUCCUCUGUAGUCAGCUGAAAGGCCCGACUCUUCACCAUUGGAGCCUCCGACUUGACCUGCCGGCCAUCUGUGAUCCGCAAGGUCGCUGGGGCUGGAGCCUUAUCCGGUGCUGCUGCCCUCUUGUGGCCCCUCUGGUUGCAGUGGAAACACAACAACUCAUAUGUCUGAACAACCGAAGCAGGGGCAGUACAAUCCCUGCUAAAGUGUCCCGUCUUGCCGCACUUGUAGUAGCCUGACGAUNAUCCCAAUCUACAUGUUCCCUCGUGCGACCUGCCACAUUUCCCGCAGCGGCCCGGUCCUCCUUGGCCUUUCGGCCUACCAUCUGAUCCCUUGGGUUUCUUCCCCGAAGCCCCAACCACCUGCCCUGCCUCUGCCUUCCUCUUCCGGAUAUGUUCCAAAUCAAUCUCCCUCUCCCUUGCCCUGGCAAUCAUGGACUCCAGGGUAGGGCAAGCUGAAAAGCUAACAUGCUCUCGGAUGUCAGCCCGUAGCAUGUCGUGGUAGCGGGUCCUCCUCAUAUCCUCAACACCUGCAUACUGGGGAACUAACAACGCCCUCUCCCGGAACUUAGCGGUGAUCUCCGCCACAGUCUCCGUCGUUUGCCUCAUAUCUAAAAACUCCCUGGCCAACUGCUGAAGCUCGACAGCCGGCGCGAACUCUACCCUGAACCUGGUCACAAAGUCCGGCCAGGUCAUAGCCUCAACAACCGAGGCUCCCAACGAGUCGCUGACGGACUCCCACCAAUCUCUAGCUCGGUCUCACAAACACCCUGAUGCAUACCUCACCUUCGACCCCUCAGGGCAGAAGCUAAUCAACUGCGCAAACUCAAUGUCUGCAAUCCAUCGUUUGGCCGCAAUGGGGUCCUUCACCCCAUGGAAAUCUGAUGCACCACUGCCUCUAAAGUCCUUAAAGGACAGUGUGCAGGAUCCUGACUAGCCUGACGCCAUAUCACUCCUGAACGCCCUAAGGCGAUCCUCCAUCAGCUCGACUAUCCCUUCCUUGAUCGACCCGAAGAUAAUAGGGGUCAACUCAAGGAUGCCUCUAGUGAUCUCUGACGCAAUGAACUCGCGUAGGCUCUCAUCAACUGGCUCGGACCCUGAACCCGAACCCGAUCCCUCUCCUGAACUGCCAACUGCUGGCCUCAGACGUAGUACCACCAUUCUACAAUACACCAUAAUAAUCAUCAACGAUACUAACACACUAGAGGGAUUACAUCUACCACAAGUUCCUUGGUCUUGCCUUAACCUUCCUUAACUCGAGUACGAAUCCUCUGCUUUCAGUAGUACGGGCACAUACUACCUUCCACAUCUAUCCGUACUUUCCUCAAGGAAUGCUUCAACUCCACCAAGUCCCUUCGUCACUACUGCUCUCUGUUAUCCUCAUCCUAGGCUUGCCUAGGGAACUUCCGACCCUACCCUAAUCAGUCCUCAGCUGCCGAAGUUCUCUGUGUGAUGGUGCUUAGCCAUCACUUGGAUACAAUCACAUGCAACAAGGCUCAGAUAAUCCUUCGAGUAAGGGACCCACCCCUACCACGGUUAGGACUCACACAAGAGCUACGAAAUAAAGUCAAACCCCUCACUCUGAGAUUAUCCGACCCUGAUCGUAUGUGACCUAAUGUAUCCACCUGAUAGCUAACCCCCAUCACCCGAAGUCCCUCAAAGCACAAAGCAAGCAACAUUCAGACGAAGAGGGAACGAUAUCAACAAUCACAUCCUCAAAACAGGAAACUAUACUAGCAUACAAUGCUAAGCUCACACUAUCAGGCAUAACCUAUACAUGCUACCCUACUACUGUCUACUCAAUACUAGCAUGCAUUUUUCAUAAGCAGAAACACAUAUAGCAGGCACAUAAGGCAUCAUUCCUAGAUCCUUAGUCCUAUACUAGCAUGGUGUUCAAUUGAAACUGAUAAACAUAACAUAUCUCGUAUGGGUACUUUGGGGAAUACUUACUUGAGCUCAGCCGGUCGCGCACAUCACACACUUCGUACUCUUCCCAAAACUCUUUAGUUUACCUUUUUGAAAAAAACAUUUUCUUAGAAAAAUUCUUUUAUUCCCUCGAUUUGAGUACAGACACUCUCGAGGGUGUGUCCGAAUCCCUCAAACCAGGGCUCUGAUACCAACUUGUAACAUCCCAAAAUACAGGCCAAAAUUCUCAUUUUUUUUAAAAUAGGUCAAUUCAUAAAAACUUCGAUAUAGAAGUUUCAUAAUAAAGCUUCAUGUCUGAAAACCAGCCACAUCAUAAUAAUAUGUCAGAGUACAUCCCAAAAAAAUCCAUAAUGCGGAAAACAAGAGUGUGUAUGUGUGAUAUGCCGCUACCGCGCCAACUCCUUCCCCCUAUCUGAAGAGGUACCUGAAACCAUCACAGUAAAUUGUAAGCACGAAGCUUAGUGAGUUCCCCCAUAAUACCUCAUACCAUGCAACCAUAUAAUGAACAACUAGGAGAUACGGGCCUCGCCCACACUCCGUUAUCUGAGAGAUGCGGGCCUCGCCCACACUCAGCUACUAAGCCACAACAUAAAAGUAUCACACAGACAACGAGCAUAAACAAUUCUAUCAUACUAGUAUAUAUCAUAAUAAAACUCAACUAUGAGAUACGGGCUCUGCCCACACUCCGAUACUACAUAUCAUCUAUACGGGCCGACCUUGGUUCCUUAGACCCGUUCCUACUGGAAGGAAACUCACCUCGAAAAGUAGCUAUCGAAAGUCUGCCUGCUAGACGUCUGACUGUUGUACCGGUAAUCCUCCGGCUAAUAAAUCCAUAAACAUAGAUUAGUUACUCAUAAAUACCCUUAGGUCAAAUGACUGACCUACCUCUGGUCCAAGGUCAACUCCUUGGUCAAAGUCAACUUCCAGUUGACUAGACUCGCCGAGUCCCUCUCCUACUAUCCCAGUUCUACUCAUCAAGUCCCUCUUCCCACUCACUGAGUCACCCUUAACUUACUACUAGGGAUGAUUAGACUGACUCGCGAUCCGACUCACCGAGUCCGAGAACAACUCGCCGAGUCCCACGAGCAGAUCUCCUACUCGCUUCCAAAUCCUCACCAGAGCAUCCACCUUGAGGAUUUGGUUUCUGGGACUAUUGCUACACGUUAAAUUGCUAACUCCGCAUGCAGCUACGAAGGGUUGGACCUUCUACACUUAAACCCUCCUUAACUCAGUAACAGCUCAUAUGACUCGCCGAGUUUGAAGAACAACUCGUCGAGUUCCAGGCAAUCUUCAUAGGACUCGCCGAGUUGUUCAUCCAACUCGUCGAGUCUAAGACCAUCUUCAUAGAACUCGCCGAGUCCACUUUGGAACUCGCCGAGUCCCUUCAACCCUCCUCCCAUACAGACCAAAUCUGAGACAUGCAACGGUUCCAAACCAUAGAUCUAAGCUCCUAGGGCAUGCUUAUCACGUAAAGUUGCAAACUUUACGUGCAUGCAUGGCCCUAUAAGCUCCAAAAGGCAAUUCCAAGCUCUUUAUGAGGUCAUACACUCAAUAGGGACCUUAAUCACUUCAACCACAGAGACUUUAUACUUCUAAGACGUCCAUAAGGUCCAGAUUUGAAGUCCUUUCAGAACAUAGAGCAUAAACACAUGGAGUUUGAGGUUUUAGGGCUUGAAAACCACUAAUUAGGGACAAAAAGGGGAUCUAAUGAGCAGUGAUCAAGAUAGGAACUUUUCUACCUGAAUGGAAGCUUCCCACGGUGUAGAUUUCGGAUCUACUUCCCCUUCUUGCACUCUUCAACCUCCUCCUUCUUCUACUAAGCUACAAAUUUCCUUCACAAGGCCAAGAUCACUCAUAAGAACAAUAUGGGGACUAGGGUUUCUCUCUACAGCUCUCUGGAAGUGUUAGGGACAAAGGAGGCCAACUUAGAGCGUUUAAAUAAGGUGCAAACACCCGGGUUAGGGUUUUUUCCCAGACCGGGUCUACUCGCCGAGUCCAGGAACCGACUCGCCGAGUCCACAACUUAGACCCCGCGUCAUAUCCCGCUUCUACUCGGCGAGUUGGUCCUUCAACUCGCCGAGUCCAAGGCCAAAAAUGCAAUAUUUAAAGAGUUAAUUACAAAGAAUACAUACCAAGAACCAGGUGCUACAGGUGGGUUGUUCUCAGAAGGGAAAAAACAACAGAGGAAGGGAAAGGGAUGUGGCACUGGUGAUGGUGGGCGUUUCUUGGUGGCCGGAAAACAGCUCCACCGCUAGUGGAGUUCUCUUGCUCGAAAAUGAAGAAGGAGGAGGGGUAACCACCUCCUUUAAGUAGUAGGGUAGAGAGAGAGAGAGAUAAAUAUUUUCUUUUAUUUUUUAUUUUUUUAGUUAGAAAAUAAUUAAAUAACAAAAAGAAAAGCAAAAAACAAAUGGAGAAGGGCAAAUCCGUCAUUUUUAGAUUUUUUAAACUGUUUUGGACCAAAGCCGCAGCAAAAUGAAAACUUUUGGACUAUUGGUGUUUGUCUAAACCUGUUUGGCCCAAAGUAGCAUUUUUAGACAUACCACAGGGACCAUUAUUGCAAUUUUGUCUAAGUUUUAAAUGCAAUUGAAAACCAACUAUAUCAUUGAUUCGUCUUUACUAUUACAUUUUUAUUUUUAUUUUGUAUAUCAAAUGGUUGUACAUGUUUCUUUAGUUUCAUACUUUCCUUUGGCCGCCUUUCUCAUCUUUCUCGGUUGUCGCUUUAUUGAUCUUCAUUAUUACAAGUAUCUUUCGAUUAAUUUCUUUAUAAUACAUGAUCUCUUCACAAGAGGUAUCUUUGGAUAAGAUUACAUUACGUAAUUUAGUUUCUUGGUGAGUUGAAGUUGAUUGUUGGUGGAUUUGUCAAGGACGUGGUACGUAUUAGAUAAACCGAUUACAUAAAUUGAAAUUGCUUUUGAAUGAUAAUUUGGUUAUAUUUUAGAUGAAGUAAACGAUGUAUAUUAUCUAACCCUUUGAGUACAUGUUUGUUUUUUUAGGAUUAUCAGCUGAUCUCAAAUUAGUUACGGUGAUGUCAUACAACAUGCUUACAACAAAUAGUCCAUCCACAUCCUCACAUAUCGAUUUCCCAAAAUGAUUUAAUUCCAAAUUAAAGACUCCUUAACCAAUCAAAAGCGCCAAGCAUAUCAAGUCAAUCCACAUCUUCCUUCUCCAAAAACUUUGUUAGCAUUGCCUACAAAAGAUAAGGUUGCAUGGACUAUUAUGUUGUCUUCGUGUGUAAAUAAAGGCACUGACCCAAAGGAGACUUGAUAAGUAGUUCAAUCAAAUGUCUGGUAAGGAUCUUGUGGUUUAGAACAUCAUGAACUUUUGAUACAUCAUUAUAAUACCCGUUGUUGAACAUCAUGAUCCGUUUACAUGGUUUUGGUUUAUGAAUAAGAUUACCCCCUCCAAAACAUUGAAAGUAAGUUGUUUGACUUUCAAAGGUCAAAUAUAAACUUUUUUUACCUAUUAUGUAGUUGUGUAUGCGCUAUGUGUGUGUGUGUGUGUGAUCAUUGCAUCAUACCAGGUGUUUUGGUGUUUUGCAUGUUACUUUAAUUUUUUUCUUAAAACAUGAUUUGGCAUACCUGGUAUUACAGUUUAAGUUCAGUCCUAUUUAACUUUGGAUUUUGACAUUCGAUAUUUAUUAGACAUCAAACUUGUACAUUGUAUGAAAUAUCCAUUUCUUCGUACUAUAGCAUUCUAAUUUUAUCUUUCUAUUAUCUUAUUAAAUUUUCUUUAUUAAGGCAAUGUAGUAUCUGAGUGUAAUUUCCAUCUUCCAUUUUAAAAAUUAGCCCAAAAGCCACCAUAUUUUCAAAUAAGUAUAUAUUAAUUUUAAACAUCAAUACAAAAGUUUAAAAAAGAAAAACUUCAAUCUUAUUAAUUUAAUAAAAAUAAAAAUUUAAAAUUUUUUUACCCGUGAUUUUCACGGAUUGUGACCUAGUAUUAUAACAUUUAAGUGCUUUUUAAAAUUACUAUCUAAAAAAGCUAAUUAAUUAUUAUUUAUGUGCAUUUUAUUUCUCUACCUAGUUCUUUAAUUACUUACCUACCACCAUAAAAAGUGUAUGGUAUUACAUGCAUUCAUGAUUGGUUGAUUGGUAGAUGACAUUUAUGAUUAAAACUUGAUAUAUUUUUAGUUUAUGUUAACAUUGAAAAAAAUACAAUAAAUAUUUGUUUAUCAACAACAUAUUAAUACUAUUUUACGACAUUAAUAGCAUCUUCUUAACUUUGUAUCAUCAAAUGAUGACGGUCUAUAUUUUGUAUGGACUAGUAUAUAGUAUAUUUAUUUAAUUAUGGACUUAUUUAAUCAUAUAUAUGAAUCUUAUAUGUUUUAUUUAAUUGCUAUUAAUAUAUACCGAAACAUUACUUAUUGUUUUGUAGUAUUAAACAAAAAAAUUAUAAAGCAAUAAACAAUAUUUAUAAACGUCACGAUACGAUCAUAUAAACAAAUAUUUAUUGUAAAACCCCUUGAAGGAUAAAAAGGCAAUCAUGAUUGGCAUAUGACAUUUACGAAGAAAACUUAUAUCAUCACAACCACCAUCAAUUUUGUAACCUCCUGAAACUUUCAACAAAUUUUUAACUUUUCAAAACAACUUAUUCAUUAAAGAGGUAUUUACAAAAACCAUUGUUUCUAAAACAUUAUUUAAAAAUCAGAAUCGUUUACAACAUAGUUUUUAAAACAUUUUCAUUAUCACAGUUUCUCAGAAAUCAUAAGUUCCAAAAACACGAGGAUGUGUACGGUCACGCCUUCACCUUGUCAUGCUCCACUGAAGUACCUGAAACCAUAAACCUAAAUUGUAAGCACGAAGUUUAGAGAGUUCCCCCCAAAGUACCAAUCACAAUAAUAACACAUACACAAACAACAUACUAUGGGUCCAAUCAUCAUCGGGAUGGAAUACCCUCAUGCCCCUCAACCAUCGGGUUGAAAUGCCAACAUACCAUGGGUCCAAUCAACCAUCGGGUUGGAAUAUCCUCGUGCCCCUCAACCAUCGUGUUGGAAUGUCAAUAUAUUAUGGGUCCAAUCAACCAUCGGGUUGGAAUACCCUCAAGCCCCUCAACCAUCGAGAUAGAAUGCCAACAUACUAUGGGUCCAAUCAAUCACCGGGUUGGAAUGUCCUUGCCUAUUAGCUUACGCACAAAGCAGAGAAGCAUCAGCCACCAAUCACACAUGUGCAUAUAUAACAAAUAAUCAUAUAACAGUCUACAACUAGUCAAACAUAUCUAACAGAUCAUAGAGCAUAGUAACAUCCUAUCUACCAGGAUACCGAUCUAACAUAUCAUAACAGCAUAACAAUAUCCUAUCUACUAGGAUACCGAUCCAACAGAUCAUAACAGUGUAACAUCAUACAUAACGGGAUAUCAAUCCAAUGGACUGACAUUGGUGCCUUCGACCUGAAAGUACAGUGAGGAAAACUCAUCUCUCGAUCUAAUCCAUAGCUGAUGAGGUCCCGACUCUGAAUCUCAUCUCUAACCAAUACCUAUCCAUCCAAAUGACCAAUAACCAUCAAAAUCCCAAAAUACCCAAAAUACCCCUCAAGGUCAAACUUGGUCAAAAUCAACAGUCCAUGUUGACUCCAACACGCCGUGUUGCCUUGCAAACACGUCGUGUUCCUCCCAUAUCCAAACAGUCGGGAAAACCCCAUCCAACACGUCGUGUUGACUUGCAAACAUAUCGUGUUUGCUAGAGUUCCUGCAGCUUAAUCCGUUAAGUUGCUUCCUUCGAUUCCUAGAGCUCCAAAGCUCAAAUCUGAACCAAAAUGAUAUGAAGGAGGAUAAAGUUUCCAACUUUAUCCUCUGGGGCUACUCCAAAGGGUCCAAAACCCAUCUAUAAGGCUAGAAGAUGAAAGGAUUUAAUCAAUAAGCACUCAAUCCUUAAAGUUGAUGCAUAAUACUUUCCAUCAGAGAUUCUAGCACUAAAACCAUCCCAAAGCUCAUACAAUCAGAUAUACAGACUAGCAUGCAAUACUAAAGCUCAUACAAUCAGGCAUAUAAAAGGCAUUUCUCCUGUCAUAUAAUACUGAGCAGAUCGUUAUCCAUAAUCUAGCAUGCAGUUCUCAUAUGCAUAUCAUAUAUCAUAAUAAACAUGUAUUGGUAUUUUGGGAACCACUAACUUGAGCUCGGCCGAUUGCACGCAUCACACCCCUUUAUUUGAUUAUAAGUUCCUUUUUAGUUAAAUGUUUAUAUUAUAUAAAAGAAAUUCACCAAACCCUCAAUUUAAGUUCAAGUACACCCGAGAGUAUGCCCGAAUCCCUCAAACCAAUGCUCUGAUACCAACUUGAAACAUCCCCAAAUCCAUGGUAAAAUUUUCAUUUUUAUUAUAGUCAAAACACUAAUGAAAACUUAUCCAAUCGUUAAAAAGCAUUUCAAAUAAAACAAUAUUCAGAUUUCACUCCCAAAGAUCACAUAUUGCGGAAAACGCGGGUGUAUGCGUUGUGAUCAUCCCGAGCUCUCUCAUUUGAAAACUGGAGUAUCUGAAACAAUAAACUGAAAACCGUAAGCACAAACCAUAGUGAGUUCCCCAAAUACCACCUACCAUACAUAUCCAAUGAACCAUACAUGUCGUACAUAACCAUGAGUCAUACAUAUCAUUCAUAUAUCAUAAUCAAUAAGAGUGCUAUGUGCUAACCAUAAUCUUGUCAUUAUGCCACGAGCCGCCUCAUGGUCUUUCUUGCCAGGCCAGGGGCCACAACCCCGGGUCUUACAGACAAGUGCCAAUAGCUACCUCCUGGUCUUCCAUGCAAGCAUCACAAAGACAACCAACAUAUAAACUACACUACUUAACUAAUUACUUGCCAGAGUUCCGACUUUGGUCUUGCAUACAGUGUGUCAGGAGCCACCUCGUGGUCUUUCAUACAUAAUGCCAAGGGCUAACCCCCCAGGUCUUCCUACAAUACAUAAGCUAAAUGGUCCAGCAUUGGUGCCUUUGACCCCUACAAUAGUGAGGAGACGCACCUUGAAUGCUGAAGCUCACUGCAAGAAAUCCUUAGUUAAUGCCCUGACAACUCAUUGGGCUAACAAUACCAAAAUAUCACCCAAUUAGAAAUUGGGUUCCAAACCAUGAUCCAUAAUCCAUACUUGGGGUAAAAUUACCAUUUUACCCCUAGCCCAACAAGAUUCAUAACUAAGGCCCAAGCCCAAAUCCAAAACCACAAAAUCCAGGAAAGCCUGUUAAUGGCCCCAUUUUCCAAAUUGGGUCGAAUCCCAUACGAUCCUUACCCCAUGCCCAUAUUUUACAAUUCAGAUUACCUCAAACACCCCUUGGGACAACUUGGUCAAAGGCAUAAGUCAAAAGUAAAAGUCUAUGCUCCGAGUUGACUCAACUCGCUGAGUUGUCCCUCAACUCGUCGAGUUCCCCCAUUAAUCAACAACAUCAUGAAAAGUCGAUCCAACUCGCCGAGUUUCCCCUUUAGACAGCUGAAUCAGGAAAAAUCAUUAUGUUGGGUAUAUUGUGUUGCGUUAAUGAACUUUUGUAUGGUUUAUUUUGUAAACGGGUUGUGCCUGUCCUCCCGUAUUUAAUUCUAGGGUUAGAGUAUUUAUGGUGCUCGCUUCCAUCUUAUUUUAUCAACUCUGAUAUUCUUCUGUAACCCUAAUCACGCCUUUACAGUAGCAAUUCGUUGUCGAGUUCUUCUGAGGUGUGACUUUUAAUCAUUCAACAUAUUUUGAAUCAUCGUUGUGUUCUUUACUUUAAUAUGUUUGAAUCUAAACGAUCUUUUCAAGGAUUUACAUCCUAACAAUUAGUAUCAGAGUAGGAGAUUGUGUAAUAAAUACACAUCUCUUAUGUUUAAGAGCUUUUAGGGUUUCCGUUAAUAUUGGAUCUAGCUUAACGAUCAUCACAGUGUUCUUGACGUUGUUUAGAAAAUUCAAUAUUACCCUAAAACUGAUUUUGUUUUACACGUCUGAUUCUUAACAGGUUUUAAAGAUCUUAUCAUCAUGCAGCACGACGAUUCUCACUUCAACUCUAUCAAUAUUUCAAGCAACAUUGGAUCGACCACUAGGAUCCCAAUUCUCUUUCCUAAUGAAUAUAAAGUAUGGUCGCUUCACUUCAAAGAUUAUGUUCUUGGACUAGAAGAUAAUGGAUACCUAAUAUGGGAGGCUAUAACUCUUGGACCGUUUGUUCAUACCGAAAGCAAAAGAAUCAUCAAAACUCAAAAAGACUACAACAAACUCCUUCUUGAUAUCAAGGACGUUCCUCAAGAUGAAAAGGAAAAACUGAUCAGCAAUGUUAAGGCAUUCGAUUUGCCUUGCAAGCUGAUACUUUUCGUCUUGUUAGUUCCUGUGACACUGCCAAAGCCAUAUGGGAUCGACUUAAGGAAUUCUACUCAACAUAUGCAAAUCUUGAGCACUAAACACAAACGUUCUUUCUUUCAGAGUUUGGUGCCUUUUCCCAAAAGGCUAAAGAGAGUUUAAGUCAAACAUUCAAUCGAUACUAUCGUCUUUUGAGCAGAAUGACGAAACAUGGCAUUGGACGUGAGUUAAUCGAACAAAAGGUCACAUUUAUGAAUGGACUUCGAUCAGAAUGGAAGGCAGUGGUGUCUACGGUUAAGGCACAUGAGCAGUUCAAAAACUAGACACUUGCCAAGCUUGUUGGUAUCCUAAGGUCACACGAAGAUGAAGUGACUAAAGAAGCAAAAGUUGUCUCAGGAAUAGGUUCAUUGGCCCUUGUUUCGAUGGGUAAGAAGAUAGCUGAAGAGGAUGAUUCAGAUUUUGAGCUUUCUGAAUGCGAACUCUCUAAAAAAGAGUUCUCUAUGAUGGUUUCACAACCCAAGAGAUUCGUAAAGAAAACCUUCAACCGGAACAAGAACCAAAAUUGGCAGGGCAGUUAUAGCUCUGAAAAGGUGAAAGAAGAAAAUGCGAACGGUUCGCAAAAGGCUGAAGACAAGAAAGAGAAGAAGCUCAUAGGGGACUCCGGAUAUGAUUGCAAUUAUUGCCAUGGCAAAAAACACUUGCCAAAGGAGUGUAUGUUGUGAAGGUUAAACGAGAAGAAAGAAGGAGAAGAUGAUGAGGCUUACCACAUGCGAAAGUUAGAGGAGAUUAAGAAGAAAAAUAAUGUUGAUAAAUCUAUGCCUGCUUUAAUUAUGCAGGAAAAUGCAGCUGAAAACGAGUUUGGAGGAGUUGAGAUCUGGUCAACAUACUCUGAAGAUGACGAGGUUCGUAGACCCACGCAUGGCAGGGCAUUUGUUGCGAAAGAAAAGAGUCCACAGUUUGGAGGAAGAUGCUUGGUGGUGACAAACGAAAGGUCACAGAUACAGGGGAAUACUAUUGAGGGUGAAAGAGGAGCAGGGUCGGCUCUACCCUUUACAAAACUAAGUAAGAGCUUAGGGCCUCCAAUUCUAAAGGGCCCCCCAAUUUUAAAGAUUUUUCUAUUGUAUAUGUAUAUAUAUAUAUAUAUAUAUAUAUAUAUAUACAUAUUUAUUGGGUUACAAAGACAAGUUGGAGCUUUGCUUUGUAGUAAAAACGUUGGUUUAUAAAACUAAGGGUCUCAAGUUUGAAAGGUUUUGCUUACUUGAAGGGCCCCAAUUUUUUUGUUUGCUUAGAGCCCCCAAAUUAGUUGAGCCGCCCCUGAAGAGGAGAUGAUAGCUAAAAAAAUAAUGACUGCGAAUAGUUGAUCAACAAGGUAAAUCUAAUUCUUGAAUCUCUCAAUAUACCUAUGUCUAGAUACGAAACUGAAUUAAAUGACCUAAAAUUCACUUUUUCAAGCAUUAGUGAUAGUUUAAAAAGAACCCUUUUAACAAACUAUAACGUAACAGAUCAAAUUAGCAGAGUUUUGUUGAAAAGCGAUGAGAGGCGCAUGUGGAUAGAGAAGAUCGAGUCGGAUUUGUCUAAGUCUAGGGAUCAAUUAAUUUACUUGCAAUGAGACAAUUUGAUGCUUUUAAAACAACGUUGUAACACCCAGAAUCAAAAAGGCCAAGAAAGGAAAGGAAAACCCUAAGUCAAAAGGGGGUCAACUCGUUGAGUCGAAGGAAUGACUCGGCGAGUUGAAGCGGACUCCGUGUCGCAGAUUAAGUGACCAACUCGGCGAGUUUGGUCUGGGUUGGGAAAGCCCUAAUUUCGGGACUUGGUAUCCUAUUUAAGCAUCUUAUUCUCUUCCCUAGGGUUCACUACAACCUCUCUCGUCCAAAACCCCAAAACCCUAGCCACCCAACUUCAUUUUUAAAGCUUUUGGUGAAGAUUGAGGUCCAUUGGAGUGGAUUUUGAAGGCUUGGAAGAAAGGAGCAAGGAAGGAAGUGUAGAUCCAACCUUUAUAUCGUUUUGGAAACUAUUAGAAGGUAAAAAGUCUAGACCUUGAGCUUUCAAUUGAUAAAUCCCCUUUCUAGUUUGCUUUUGGUCACAUUUGGAUCAUUUCCAAGGUUAAUCCGAGUAUUAAACCCUUGAGGAUGGAUUUGGACAACAGAUUUGGACACUCUUGAGCUUUAGGAGCUCAGAGUUGUUGGCUUUAUCUAGCUAAGAUCCCAUUUCAUGACCUAGGUUUUCUUUGAAGCUUGGAUUAAGUGUUUUAGCCCCAUAACACCUUGCAUGCACGUAAAGUUAGCAACUUUAUGUGCAAUGCUAGCAUAAUGAGUCAAGAUCUAUGAGUUGGAGGUGUUGGGAUGGACUGUAGUCGACAAAAUAGAAAUGCCACAAGAUGGACUCGACGAGUCAGUUCAUGGACUCGACGAGUCGGGCUGCAAACCCAAGCCCUUCUGUUUAUGAGUCGGAUUAGUGAGUGGGGUUAGAGAAGGGCUCAGCUAGUCUGUGUCCAUAAAGGUGUGACAUCCCCAAAAUCUCGGCCAGAAAAGACCGAUUUCAUUUAUGCUUUUUAAACAUUUUCAGAGUAAAUCCGUUUAAUUUUAAAAGAGAUGCGAAAUUUGUUCCCAAAAACAAAACAUGAUAAAAUAUAUAUUUAUCAAAACAUUUCAUAUAGAAAUAUGAUUUCAUUUCAUAAUCAAAAGUCAGGAUGUCAUGUUCCGAUACAGAUCAUAAAGCAUAAACGAUAACAUUACAAGUCAUUCAACAAAUAUAUACAUAUAGAGACUUGUAAACAAAAACAACAUGAUGAUUCGCCCAUCUUAAGCUCUUGCGCCACUUCCUGUAAUACAAAUCAACUGAGUGGGUCAGGCUUGGGAGCCUGGUGAGCAUAUAGGGUUUUCAAACCCACAAUAAUUAUAUUUAAUUACAACAAUCAACAUUAAACCCGAUUACCCAUUCCCGUUAUCCUCACCUUACGUUCCUAAAAAUAACGUCUAUUAUAAGGAACUUAUUUCAGGAUUUUCAUCGGGACGGACAUUACUGCAGAGGGGCUUCCUCAACAAUAAGUGUCCUAAAGGCAACCAUGUGGGGGAUAGAGUACACCGGUGAACACGUCGUUCACAACACCUACAGGUAAUGAGCCUGCUAGUGUUCCACAGGACAGUCUAGAAUAGUCCGUGGUCGUCAUCCAUACUCUGCUGAAUGACUAGAAUAACACCAAUAAUACCGAGGCCUCUCAUCUAUUUAUUUCACACCAAUUAUUUACCCAUGUUAUACCCAACAUGUUAGUAGAUAAAAUUAUACAUUUUUAUACAUUGCUUGAAAACCUGUAUAGCAUGCUUUAACCAAUACAUAUUCCACAUAACAGAUGAGGCACACACACAUAACACGUAUUUCAUAGAGAAUAUACAUUCACACAUAUAACCACAAAAUAUAUACACAUAGCACGUAUUUUAUAUUAAAUACUUCAUAAUAUUGCGUUGGAAAGAAAAUAACUACACACUCACUUGAUCAGAAGAUGAUCCGACAGCACUACGGCUUAUAGAAGUAGCGUCUCUCCGUAGAUCUGGAAGAUCUUCACAAAAACCGGCUCCUCGCGGGCAGGGCUUCGGCUCGGGAAUAACGCUCUUCGGGAUUCUCGGGGCUUCGGAUCUCGCUUCGGGGCUCGGGAAUAAUACCGGGGCUUCGGGGUACAAAUGGCACGCAAAACGAGGCAAAGGACUAGAGAGAAGGAAGAAAUUGUAAAUGAAAAAAAGAGUUGCCUUCGGAUCCCCUUUUAUAGUGUUGAACCCUCGCACGUACGCGGGGCGUACGCCUCGGUGGUCGUCAGCGCUUACGUCAUCGGCCCUCAUACGUCAUUGCAUACAACUCCGGAGUACUCGAGUGCCCUUCGCUGUACGCGGGGCGUACAGCAGUACGCGGUGCGUACUUCGGAUAGACCAGCUAACCCCUCUUCGGAUAAUAUCAGAGGUUAAUUAAAAAUAAAUAUUAAAUAUUUAUUAAACUUCAAAAAUUCAUAUCUCCUUCAUACGAACUCCGUUUUUGACGUUCUUUAUAUCCACGCGAAGGCGAGACUACGCUCUACAACUUUCGUUUAGACUCCGUCAGCUCAUUUUGACUUUUAUUUUUAUUAAUUAUUUUUAGAAGGGACAGGAAAACUUCGUUAUAAAAUCAUAACUUCUUCGUCCGACGUCCGUUCUCGCCUAUCUUUUCAUCGCUUCGCUACUAAUAACGAGAUCUUCGAUUUUCAUUUAGAUUGUUUCGGCUAAAAACCGCUCGAUCUCAAAUCGAGUAUUCGGGCUGCAUACUGUCACGUCGAAACUUCAGAAAAUCAUAACUUCUUCGCACGAAGUCAGAUUUGGGCGUUCCUUUUAUGCACGCUCUCGGUUUAACGAAAUCUACGACUUUCGUUUAGAUCGCUAAGGCUAAAUAUCGCUCUAUCUUAAAUUCAUAUUUUACGUCACUCGGCGUCGUGCCGGUUCUGUCGCGAAACUUCGACAGGUCAAAACUUCUUUGUUAUAACUUGGAUUUUGGCAUUCCUUAUAUCUCCGGAAUCCUUGUUUCAACCACUACAACUUUAUGCAAAGAUAUCGGGCAUAUCUAAUAUUUUAAUUUUGACACUUAUUUUAUUCUUAAUUUAAUUAUAUCACAUAAUUAAGCAAAUAAACACAUAACUCACAUAAUUCACAAAUUCACAAAUAAUACAUUUUUAUUAUUUCAAAUUGAGGUUACAAAGAUUAACCUAGACUAUUUCAUUGCUAAAAAUGGCAAGCUCAGAAACACGGGCAUUACAAAAGGGCAUGAGGAUCAUGGUACUCGACGAGUUCAAGGAGGAACUCGGCGAGUCCAAGGAAAUCUCCUUAGCUUAUGAAGAUGGACUCGACGAGUUGUUCUAUAACUCGGCGAGUUGGUUGAAGAUGGUCCCGAAUGUUAGUUGAAGGAGAACCCGUCAAGUUGUUGCUAGACUCGAUGAGUAGAGUCGAGGUUGUUUUGGGAUUUGAGGAGCAUGGCCUCGACGAAUUGGUAGAACAACUCGGCGAGUUGAGUCAACUUGAAGUUGACUCUGACCGUUGACUUUGACCUUGAGAAGGACCAUGAACAGAGUUGACUUAGUUAGCUUCUUGAGGAAAGUUAGGCUAAGUGUUGUUAUUGGAAUUGGUAGCUUGGGGAGCUAGAGGAGCAGCAGUUCGGGGAGUUGUCGGAUAGCAACCAGAGGGUUAUCAGCAGAAUUCAGUAGUACAGGUGAGUCUCCUCACUGUGUGCAUGGGUCUACGGCCACAAUGUUGGCCCAUUAUGUUCAUGUUCAUGUUUAUGCUUAUGUAUCGAAGGAAGACCGGGGGUUAGCCCUAGGAACUUAUUGAUAUAUGUUCCGGGUUACGACCUGAUGCCGGGCGAGGCCCGAGGAAUGUUAGGAUGCUAGAGGUCUUUGUGAUUCUUGCAUUUUUCGGUAUGAUAGGAUCCGGACCGAGGGUCCGAUGUCGGGGUAAGCCGAAAUAUGUUAGAUAAUAGUAUGCUUCCGGUCCGGGGGUCCGAUGCCAGGGAAUUCCCGAGGAAGAUUCUUAUGUAGUGCGUUAGAUUAUACUUGUUGUCUUUGUGAUACUUGUAUGUGCCUGGUAAGGAGGUUAGUGUGGGCAAGGUCUCGUAUCUCAUCACUAGCUGAGUAUGGAUGGGGUUCCAUAUCUCGAUAUUAGCAGAUCGGGGGGGGGGGGGGGGGGNAGGCCCAUGAUAGGAAGGAUGUGAGUGUGGGCGAGGGCCCGUAUCUCACUACUAGUAGGAGUGUGAACGGGGCUCUACUACUUCAGUAGCAGACCAGGGGUGAGGCCCAAGUUAGGCGAGGCCUGAGAGCAGGGUAUGGUUAGGGCAUGUUUAUGUAUGUUUAUGUAUGUUUCAGUAUGUUGUUUAAUCGUAUGUAUGUGUAUGGCGGGCGAGGCUCAAAGUCAGGCGCGGCCUAAUGGAAACGAAUCUGUAUACCGGAUGGGGCUCGAUGCCAGGUGUGACCUGAUGCCAGGCAGGGCCUAAUGACGAACAGGGUCCGAUGGCGGGCGAGGCCCAAUGCAGCGGGUGGGGGCCCAAUUUGUGAUUAUGUGCUCACAAUUGUAUAUGGCAUGUUUGGAUAAGUAGAUAUGUAUUGUAUGUGGUAGGUUGGGGAACUCACUAAGCUUCGUGCUUACGGUUUUCAGUUAUGGUUUCAGGUAUUUCCGAUAGCAUAAUGAAGAGCUCGGGAUGAUCGCAUGACACACACCAAGAAGUUUAGUCUAGGAUGUUUACUCUGAUAAAAUGAAUAAGUGUUUUGGAAAAGAUACUCUAAUUUUUCAUAUAGCCCCUUUUUGUAUGUUUGAAUGACUUAAUGCUAUGGAAUAGUAAUGUUUUUAAAAGAAAUUUUUGGUCUUGAUUUUUGGGAUGUUACAAACGUAACAUUUUUGUUUGAUUGUUAAAAGGUUUUACUUUAACAUUACUCAGUUGCACCUUGAUUGUGAGAUUGGUGAGAAAAUUCACAAGAUGAUCUUACCAUUUCUUAAACAAAAGGAAGAUGAAAUUGACGCCAAUUGUUAUAAAUGCGAAUCCAUAGUUUCAUAUGAAGAGACUUCUGAUGCUUACAGGGUUGUACUGGAAAGAAUUGAAUCAUACAUUAAGUCCAAAGACCAUAAAAAUAUGUUAAAACAACUUUUGGAUGAAAAUGACAAAAAGCAAAUAAAAUCUGAUACUAUACAAAGAUUCGACUCAUUGAAUACCAAAUUGAGUUCAGAUAAUAAAAUCAAUGUUGAAAAUGCAUAUGAAUUUGAUGAGGAUAGUGAUAUGAGUGAAAUCUCUGUAGGCUAUGAAGUUUUACAUGUUUUGACUUCCAGAAUAAUAGGAUUAUUCGAAUUAUCAAUAGUUGAUCAUACCUUGGAAGUAGGCUAUGAAGUUAGACUGUCAUGAACUGGUUUGUAGAUUGUCUAAGCGUUUAGACAUAGCAAAAGUUUGUUGCAACGUUCAUGAGUACUCUUGAAAUAAGAUUUGAGUAUUGGAUUAAAUCUACGCUCAUAUGAAUCACUUCAUGGAAUUUAUCACGAGUGAUUGUGAGACGAUAAUAUCGUAUAGUCUUUAAACCGAGAUAUAUGAGUUGUUGUUUACAUGUUGGUUGUGCAUUGAUAGUGCGUAAACGCAUCAGUAACUUGAUGUUAUAAAACGUAUUGUUGUGUACGAUUUAAUAAGUAAAUAGUACAAGCAUAUAAGUCAAUGUUUAUCUAUUCCUUUUAUCCUAAGAGGAUUAAAAGCGAUAUCUUGGGACCCUCGAUGAUUUUGUGUUGACUUAUGUGACGGGCCCGGUUAGGACUGAAUUGAUGUGUUCAAUCAAGUUCUAUGUCAAACAAAUCAGAAAUCAAGAAACAAAUUAUUAUAAAAUGAGCAUGAAUUUAUUCCAUGUCUUUUUUCACACGCUAUCUUGAGAACGGAGGACUACAUGAUCCCUUAUCUAAAGGACAUGUUAUUGACUAGGUUAGAGUUCGACAACGGCUUUUGAGAGCUACGAUUGCUAAUCGGAUUUUGAAGUCAUACUUGUAGUUAUAGUUAUUAGACUUAUCCAAGUGGGAGACUGUUGGAUUAGGUGUCUAAGCCCAUAACUAUAAUUGGUAUGUACUUGAUCCGAUAGUAGCAUGGUCAUUUUGGGUUGCCUUCACCAUAGCAAUUUGAUAGGAUGAAUUAUGGAGAAAGAGGUUAAUUGUGAUUUAUUAAUAUAUUAUAAGAAUAUUAUAUUAAUUGAGAAAUCAUAUUAUUUAAUUAGUAUUGAUCAUAAAUUAAUUUGGAACUAAUUUGAUGAUCAAAAGAGACUAAUUGAAUUAAGGGGACUGAUAUUGCAGUUAUCUAAUAGUUACAAAGUUGGGCUUGUGGAUCCCUAAGAAGGGAUGGACGAAAUUAUAUAUGUAACCCACAUAGAAUUCGUCCUGAGGGGGAUUCUGGAAGGAUCUAAUGGAUUGCUUAAGGCCUAAGUAGAUAAUUAGAGUUCCAGUCAGAAACCUUAGUAGCUUAGCUAUAUAAGGAACCCCCUAGGACUCCUAAUUUCGGCCACUUGCUUCCAAGAGAAUACCCUAGCUGGAUUUAGGAGCCUCUCACCUUUCUCCCAUAAUCCUCCAUUGCUACUUGGUGUUUGUGACUCACUAGAGGUGCAACAAUUGAGGUACUAAGCUCUUGAAGGUCAAGAUCUACAAGCUACAAUGAAAAGGUAUUCUUCUAAUCUUGUUUCAUGUUGAAAAUCUCGAAAAUUGUUUGCUAAUUAGGGUUCAUGCUUUGGAUGAUUAGUAUUGCAUGUAUAAUUUGCGAAAAACCUAUAUCCAAAGCAUUAGGGUUGCAUGUACACCAUAAGAUUGUUGUAGUGCUCAAAAUCCAUCAAUAUGUUGGGUCCACAGUCUCCCGACUAAAUUACCCUGGCCCAUAAUCUCCCGAUUGGAUCGCCACUAUGGCCCACAAUCUCCCGAUUAGAUUGCCACUGGCCCACAAUCACCCGAUUGGAUUACCCGGGUUUGUUCAACACAAAGCAAUACAACCUCAACUCACCCACAUUAUGUCGACAUAUAUAACAAAUAAGCAUAUAACUAUCAAGUACAUGUAAUCAUACAGAUAUACUAAUCUUACAUAUAAUCAUCAUAACAUCAUCCUAUAUACUAGGAUACAUAACCUAGUGGGCCGAUAUUGGUGCCUUGGACCCACGAGUACAUUGAGGAGAAACUCACUUGUCUCACGUAUCAGGUAAACCACAAAUCAAAUCCUUGCAAUCGUUGCUACAACACUCCUAUCACAACGUAUGAGGUUCAACCUUAGACUACACAUUAAAAUCGCCCAGCAUGACCAAAAGUCAACCCAUGUCAAAAUUCAAUGGUCAAAGUCAAAGUCAACGACCCAUAAUGUCAACUAUUCAGCCUUACAUCGUGAUCAUCUCUUGGUCACGUCAUGAGAAUCCACUCGAUCUGAUUCCACUGGCCUCGACCCAAACCAGCUACUUAGUCAAGGAAAACCAUUUGAGCUGACCUCACGAUGCGAGCAGCUUUCCGUUACGUCAUGAGCCCUAAAUAAAUCAGCAGAAAACGGGGGGGGGGNNNNNNNNNNNNNNNNNNNNNNNNNNNNNCAUGUCUCAUGUCGUGAGCACAGGCUGAAGCCAAAAUCCAAAGAUUUAAGUCCUUAUUCCAUUAAGCCUCUUGCUAUAACUUUCCAGAAGGUCUUAUAACUCUAAAAUACUCUUAAAAGUCGAUUCUUUAUGGACAAGUAUGUAUAAUACAUGUUUAGAUCUCAGUUGGAUAAAAAAUGUGGAAAAAGGUCAUCAAACUUUCAUGCAAGGAUCCAAAACUCAACCAUUCACUAGAUCUGAACUUCAUGACACUCUAAAGAUCCUUAUAACCCAUAAAGUUGCCAACUUUAUGGUUUCCAUUCAUUCAAACUUGCUCAAUCAAGGAUAAAAAUAGGACAAAACUUAGAUCAGUCCAAAAACAACAAUAAAGGUGGAAGCUUUGACACUUACAAGGGUCCAGAAACAAUGUGAGGUGAUGAUGAUGAUGAUUCCUUGCAAGCCUCACCAAAAGAUCACCUUCUUCUUCUUUUUCUCUUCUUCUUCAAACCAAUAAAUCCUCCAAAAAGAUCAAGGAUCAAGCAAUGGAUGAAGGCUAAUGCUUAAGGCCUAAACAUCCAAACUCAUAUCUAACCUCUAAAUACGGUCUUAAUCCAUAAAGUUUCCAACUUUACUCCUUAGCAUGUCUUAAUGGGACCCGAAACCCAUUUUUAUCCAUCUAAACCCAUAAUAUGAACGCCAAAUUAAGCAUGAUUCAUCAAAAACCAUCAAGGUUACAUUUUUAUGCACUAAAAACCUUAGAAAUGCUAAGAUCUAGCAUUCCAAGCUCCUGGAGUAGCUCAUGCUCGCAAUGAUGGGGACCAUAAUAAACCCAAAACAAGCCCUAUACUACAUUUAACACAUAGAGUCAUCAAGUUAGAAGCUUUAUACCUCGUGGAAGUUGAUGAAAAUGAUUAGAGCUUGGAUCCACAAGCUCCAAGCCAAGUAAUGCUUUAUACAGGAUCUCCUUCUUUUCUAAAGCACACCAAAACUCACACCAAGACGUGAAAUUCACACAAGAGAGGCCAGGUUUUCGAACUUAGGGUUAAUAGGAUGAAGGCUAAAGAUAAAAGGGUUUGAGAAUGAGUUAAGGCCUUUAAAUAGGGUCCAAGACCCUAAAUUAGGGUUUGAGACUGAGUUGCGUAUGUCCAACGUACAUCUGGUACGCCCAACGUAUGUGAAGGAGCCUUCGUGAUUACUCCAGCCACGUACGCCCAACGUACAUUACUUGUAUACACAACGUACUCAACUAGCCCCUUACCACUUUAUCUUCUGAUGGCCAUAACUUUUGCAUCCCAACUCUCUUUUCGAUGAUAUUUAUAUCUACGGAAAGGUAAUGAGGAACCUUACAUCCCAACUCUCUUUUGACUUAAAACACCUCGAACUAAAAUCCUUAAUUCAUGAAAGGUCCAUGCCAUCACUUUUACCAUUAUACCUUAGGGCUCCAAAGCACAAACCGAACUCUCGAUACCCACAACCUACAUUAUCCACAACCAAAUGGGUAUAAACCUCUCUUUCCCUAAGGCCCAAAACCUUAUGAUAAUUGGUCAUCGGUUCACGACCUUAAAUUAUGAAACGAUUCGAAAUAAGGUGUUGCGGUAGUGAAUGAGGUGAUCUAGAGUAAAUAAAAUGAUAGUGAGUUGGUGAUUGAGUUUGAGUUUUAACAUAACAGGUUUUUAAUGAAAUAGGUUGAAAUGGAAUUGUGGCUAAUUUAAUUGGGUGGUAUGUAAGUGGGACGGUGUAGUUAUGUCUAAUUUAACAAAAUGAUUCAGGUAAGUAAAAUAACUAUUUCGUUUUCAUUCAAGAUGGGUUUAGGGCUUGAUAAAAUGUAUCCGUAAAUACCGAUUCACGAGGAAGAAAAGAAAUUGAUAGAACAAUGUUUAGUUGAAACAUACCUAAAGCUCUGAUACCAUGUUAGUAAACAUGUAUACGAAUCAAUAGACCGGGAAAAUGCCCGUUAGUAAACAUGUAUACGAAUCAAUAGAUCGGGAAGAGGAAGUUUGGAGAUGUCAUAGAAACCGCAGCCGAUGCCUCUGAAUUCGAUUAAAGAGAAAAACAUAACAAAGAAAAUACAAUAUUGUUCGUAUUAACCUAGCUACUUAGGAUCAAUUACAUAAACUACCUCUAACUAUUGAUGAAUACAAAAUAUAACCCUCACAUACGCUAACAAAUAAUGCAAUUGUGAAUCAAUUACCUCAUGACAUGACAUGUUUGAAUUAUCUUAUAUAUAAAACAAUUAAUAUUCUUCAUCAAUUUAUACAAAAAAAAUAUAUUUUUAACCAAUUCUUAUAAUUAUCUUUCAUAUAAAAACUAUUCUGUUGAAUAAAUUUAGAAAUUUUAAAAUAUCAUUACAUAAAUAUACAUUUAACCCGCUGCAUAAUAUAAAAAUUACAUCAAAUUUCAAUUAAAAAGGUGUAAUAGUCAAAACGUUUAAAUAUUAUUCUAAAGUAUGAGUGCAAAGAUAUUUGAUUUUGAGGUAAAGAAAUUUCAACUUGUAUUUUUGGUAGGAUGAAAACAAAGGAAAUCCUGAAACCUUAUCAGACACAUGUAAUGUUAUCAUUUGAUGAGAGGCAUAGAAUUAGCCACACAUACACAUACACCGAGCCAACACACACCCUUGGUUUCAUCCCUUCCUCCUUUCCUCUACAACCACACGGUUAACUACACAAUACCCUUUCUUCUUCCCUCCACAAUCCACAUACACAGUAACGACUCUGCAAACUAUAUCCAAUCCACCCACAAAGAACGGAAACCCCCGAAUUUUCAGAGGUAACGAUUUCAUAUCCUCUUGUGGGGUUUUAGUUUGUUCCGAAAUUUCUUAUCUUUUUUAAUUUCUGGGUGUUUCGUACUAUCGGUUGAGCUCAAAACCCUGUUCUUUAGGUUUUAUAAUCGACCCAUUUCUAUUUGGUGCUCAAAUUGUAGCGACACGAGUAUAAGGAGAGUGUAUUUUCGCGUGUAAGAGUCUGUGAAGGUGUUAUUAGGCCAUUGCAGGCUAGGUGUUUGAUAAAUCGUCUCUGAGGAUAGGAAAGUAAUGCCGGGGUCUAUAUAGAGUGCAAUCAUGGCUUCUUUUGCUUCGUUAGUGGGUUUAGGAAGUACCUGCACUUGUUCUCCGGGUCAAUUGGAAGGGACCCGUUUAUCAAUUAGGAGAGUUUAUUUCCCCAAUAGUUCUUGCAGUUUUCAUAACCUUUUGGUCGGAAAAAGGUGGAGGUAUGUUUCGAUUUGUAAAUAUUCUGUGACUACUGAUUACAUCGCUGAUCAAGGGACUUCACUUUCACUGAAUGCGACAAACAAAAGCAGCCAAGACGAUGCUUCUGAUCUCUUACUUAAGCCUACAAGGCCUAUCUUGAAACCAACCGAGCCUAAAAUAGCACAAGUUUCAAAUGGUUCUGGUAGGGAGAAGUUGAAUGAAGAAGAGAGAAAUAAGGUGAUUGAGUCAUUAGGAGAGGUGUUGGAAAAGGCUGAAAAAUUAGAAACAAGCAAGAACUCAGAAAUCCCAAAUAAAAAGCCAUCAAUCCCUUUGAGAACAAACACCAAUCCUAAUGCCAACCGAGUCAACUCAGCUGUUGGGAAGUCCAAGACUCUCAAGAGUGUAUGGAGAAAAGGGAAUCCAGUUGCUAAUGUAGAAAAAGUUGUGAAAGAAGCAAAAAAGAUUGAGAAGAUUCCAGAAAUCCCAAAAAUGGAGUCAACAGGGGAAGCUGAAAGUCAACAAGUUGCUAAGCCACCUCAAAGAUUCCAACCAAAGUUACAAGCAAAACCAUUAACAGCAUCACCACCUGUCAAAAGACCACCAAUCUUGAAAGAUUUAGGAGCUGCUCCAAGGAUGUUGGAAAAAGAAAAGGAAAAAGAAAAACCUAGUACUGAUGAAAAAGAUCCUAGUAUAAAACAAAAGGAAAGAAGUGGACCGAUUUUGAUCGAUAAAUUUGCAUCCAAAAGACCACCAGUUGACCCUUUAAUGGCACAAGCAGUUUUAUCACCUCCUAAGCCAGGAAAGCCCUCGGGUCCCACAAAAUUCAAGGAAGAUUACAGAAAGAGAAGUGGGGCAGCUGGUGGGACCCGUAGGCGUAUGGUUCAAGAUAAUAGGAAUCAUGAUGAUGAUCUUGAUGUUUCAAUUCCAGGGGCAAAAAAGGGAAGAAAAUGGAGUAAAGCUAGUAGGAAAGCAGCUAGGAUGCGGGCAGCUCGGGAAGCUGAACCUGUUAAAGUAGAACUCAUGGAAGUUAGUGAAGAGGGUAUGCUGAUUGAUGAGCUGGCGUUUAAUUUAGCUGUGAGUGAAGGUGAAAUUUUAGGGCAUCUUUAUGCAAAGGGUAUUAAGCCUGAUGGGGUUCAGAAGCUUGAUAAGGAAAUGGUGAAGAUGGUUUGUAGGGAGUAUGAGGUGGAAGUUAUUGAUGUGGGUCCCAUUAAAAUAUCAGAACAAGCUAAAAAGAAAGAAAUUUUUGAUGACGAAGAUUUGGAUCAUUUACAAGAUAGACCCCCUGUUCUCACAAUCAUGGGUCAUGUUGAUCAUGGAAAGGUAAUAAUAAGUAAUAGUUAUGUUUUAAAUUGUUUAAUUUCCUUAAAAGAUUUGCUAAUAUUGUUUUUUUUUUUGUAUAUGACAGACAACCCUUUUGGAUUUUAUCCGAAAAACCAAGGUACAAUUUGAUCAAGAUUCUUUCUUUAUGAUUAAAGAACGAAAAAAGAUAAUCUUUAUAACAUGAAAUGUGAUUAAAGAUUGGAUCUUUAUGAUUAAAGAACGAAAAAGAUAGUCUUUAUAACAUGAAAUGUAAAUAAAGAUUGGAUCUUGAAUUCUUGAUUUCUAUUUUUAUGACAGGUGGCAGCUUCUGAAGCUGGUGGAAUCACACAAGGAAUAGGAGCAUAUAAAGUUGAAGUGCCUAUUGAUGGCACUGUGAGACCAUGUGUUUUUCUUGAUACCCCUGGACAUGAGGUAAUGUUGAAUGCAAAUAAAUCUUUCUUUUUUUAUUUCAAAUUUUGUUUAAACGUGUUGAUUUUUGUAGGCAUUUGGUGCAAUGAGAGCACGUGGGGCCAGGGUUACAGAUAUUGCUAUAAUUGUAGUGGCUGCUGAUGAUGGAAUUCGCCCUCAAACAGCUGAAGCAAUUGCACAUGCGAAAGCAGCUGGUGUGCCAAUAGUUAUUGCCAUUAACAAGGUAUUUUUAUUGAAUCAUGAUUUAAUUAGUCAAAGAUUUGACUAAAAUUUAACUUAAAACUUUUUUUUUUGUUAAUGUUUUAGAUUGAUAAGAUUGAGAAGGAGGAAGCUGCAGACAGAGUAAUCCAAGUGAUGCAGGAGCUUUCUGUAAAUGGUGUACAACCAGAAGAUUGGGGUGGUGAUGUUCCUAUGGUUCAGGUGGGACAAAAAAUCCUGAAAUUUUUUCUUUUGUGUUUUGACUAUAUUACCCUUUACACGAUGCUUAUGGUUAUUUAGAAAACUGUUUUUGUUACAGAUUAGUGCUCUCACAGGGUUCAAUGUUGAUGAGUUGUUGGAAACCACUAUGCUUGUUGCAGAGGUAAAAACUUAUCAUGUAGUGAAAAAACGACUUAGAGGGUGUUUGGAUAAAUGCAUUUUUAGCUUAAUUAGCUUAUUGCUUAUUGCUUAUUGUGGUGGGAAUAAGCAUUUUUUAAAAAUGUGUUUGGAUUAGUUUAUUGCGGUGGGAAUAAACAAUAAGCAAUAAGCAUUUGAAGUGUUUGGCAAAUAAAAAAGCUUAUAUGAGUAAAAUGACUAAUAAGCAAUAAGCAAUAAGCAAUAAGCAUUACCCCCCUUGCUUAUUAAAAUCAGCUUAUUUAGCUUAUUCCCACCGCAAUAAGCUAAUUUUUUAAGCAUCCUAUCCAAACACUUAAAUUAGCUUAUUGUGGUGAAAAUAAGCAAUAAGCAAUAAGCUGUCAUUUUUUUCCCUAUCCAAACACCCUCUUAGUCCAAAAUUGAUUUUUUUUUACAGUUUUGGUCCUUGUUUCAAGGUUUCAUAACGAUUUUGAUCCUUGGAACCUUGAAAUAUAGACCAACACUGAAAAAAGCUUCGAUUUUUUACUAAACAUGGUAAAAAUCAGAAAGCACAAGGCCAAUUUUUUGUAAUUUAGUAUAUUUUAUAUAUACUAUUAUGUAUUUUAAUGGAAAAAAACAAGGGAUUACCUUUAUUUAUCUUGAUUUAUGUAUUUAAUUGUAUUCUCUUUUCUUUUUCUUGAUUUAUUAGCUGCAAGAAUUGAAGGCUAAUCCUGAUAGAAAUGCAAAGGGCACAGUAAUCGAGGCAGGUCUUGACAAGUCAAAAGGACCUGUAGCCAGUUUUAUAGUUCAAAAUGGAACACUAAAAAAAGGGGAUGUAGUAGUAUGUGGUGAAUCCUUUGGAAAGGUAAGUAAAAAAUAAAAAAUGACAUUUUUAACCUUGAAUUUUGAUUUUUUCAAACUUUCAAUGGCUUAGCAACUUACCCUUUUGGGGAAAUAUAUAUUUUUUUUCUUCAGGUUCGAGCUUUAUUUGAUGAUGGUGGAAAACGAGUUGAUAAAGCUGGACCUUCGAUACCCGUACAGGUAUUAUAAAUUGUAAAGAAAUCACAACGUUUCCAUUUAUAGAAAGUAUUAAACUUUUGAUGGAUGCUUUUUUUUAGGUGAUUGGAUUAAACAAUGUCCCAUUUGCUGGUGAUGAAUUUGAGGUUGUGGAUUCUCUUGAUAUUGCACGUGAAAGAGCAGAAGAACGUGCGAUUUCUUUAAGAGAUGAACGAAUUUUGGCAAAAGCUGGAGAUGGAAGAAUAACUCUUUCUUCUUUCGCUUCUGCUGUUACAACUGGCAAAAAUUCUGGUUUAGAUUUGCAUCAAUUGAAUAUUGUUAUGAAAGUCGAUCUUCAGGUAUUACAAUUACUAUUAUUCUUACUCAAUGUUAAAAGCAUCCAUUAUUGUUUAAAUAAGGUGAUGAAAGAAAACCUUUUCAAACUGUUUUUAAUGAUGAUUAGGGAUCAAUUGAAGCUGUGAAACAAGCCCUACAGAAGCUCCCACAAGAUAAUGUGACUUUAAAGUUCAUUUUACAAGCAACGGGUGAUGUCAGCAAUAGUGAUGUUGACCUGGCGAUUGCUAGUAAAGCCAUUAUAUUUGGGUUUAAUGUCAAAGCACCGGGUUCUGUUAAAAGCUAUGCAGACCAAAAAGGUGUUGAGAUUCGUCUUUACAAAGUUAUAUAUGAUCUUAUUGAUGAUGUUAGAACUGCAAUGGAAGGCCUACUAGAAACCGUUGAGGUAUUUUUUUUUUAAAAAAAAAAGUAACCAUGUGAAAUUACCAUUAUACCCUCCCUGUGAUGUCGUUGUUUGAUGAUUUGGUUUUUGUAGGAUCAAGUGCCGCUUGGGGCGGCGGAGGUGCGGGCGGUGUUUAGCAGCGGGAGUGGGCGGAUUGCUGGAUGCAUGGUGACUGAAGGGAAGGUGACAAAAGAUUGUGGGGUUAGGGUUUUGAGAAAAGGGAAGAUUAUUUAUGUUGGUGUUGUUGAUUCUUUGAGACGAAUCAAGGAGGAUGUUAAAGAGGUAAAUGCUUCUCUUCUUAUAAUCUAAUAAUCUAAUAAUCUAAUAAAGUUGGAAUUGGGAUUUAAUAUUAAUGAUUCUUUUAUUUCCAAAAACAUUUUGUGAAACUCUUGGUUUUUUUGUACAGGUGAAUGUGGGACUAGAGUGUGGAAUUGGAGUUGAUGAUUUCAAUGAAUGGGAGGAAGGUGAUUACAUUGAGACCUUCAAUUCUAUUCAAAAGAGGCGAACACUUGAAGAGGCAUCAACCACAAUGACAGCUGCUUUUAAAGAAGCUGGAAUCGAGAUAUAACCAACCACUCCACAAUAACAAAAAAAAAAGAAAAAAAAAUCCCCUACAAGAAAGAUUAUCCAAGAUUUUAGUGCGAAUCAUAUGAUGAUGAACAACUUCUCUCUCCAUGUCAAGGACUCAGAAAAAAAAAGUUGAUUUAGUUUUGUGUUAUACCUUUAUGCUACUACAAUGUACAUAAGAAUAGAAGUUAAGCUUGUAAAGAGGGGCAAACUUGAGAAUUCAAUGAUCAAAAUCUAUGAGGUGAUGAUGAUGAUGAUGAUGAUGGGGAAGAAGAAGUUGUAGAAAGAAAAUAUUUUGAUGUGAAUCGUGUUGUUAGAUCAAAUGUAUGUUUUGGUGGUUUUUGUAUUGGUCUUUUGACAUGAACUCGAUGAAUGUUGAAAACCAUAUUCUUUGCUAGUAGUGAAUACAUUUAUGCUUCUUAAAGUCUUCCAAAAAAAAAAAGAUUGAACAAACACACACUCUAUUCCUUGAUCUUUGGUUUUUGCAAAUAACCCUAGAAAACCUGUUCAAUGGCAUAAUUCAAUAAGUUUCACUUCACUAACCAUUGAAUAACUACAAUUUCAUUUUUCAUAUUUAUUGAUUUCAAAAAAAGAAUUACAAAAUUUUUCUAACAUAAUUAAAAAACAAUAGCAUUAGAUGAAAUGAUGUUACAUACCAAAUAACCAAAGAAAUGAAAUUCAAGCUCAAACUAUAAUAUUUUGCUCUAAUUUUUUAUCAUCACUUUGAUCUUGUCUCAUUAUCAAAAUGGGUCAGUGGUGUUUGUUGACAAUGACAAUUGUUGGUUAGAUUUUGGCCACCUGAAAAACCAAAUCAGUUAAUUCACUACAUUUCAAUUAAACCCAAAAAAAAAAUACAAAAAGUAAAAAAAAAAAAAAAAAAUACCAAUAAGCCACUGACGACAAUCCCCAUGGUUUGCUGAUUAUUUCUUUAUCAGGAGUCCCCAUUUUAUUAACGAACAUAAGAGAUUCCGAUAGCCGAUUUAGUAAAUUAACUAGAGCAAUCACUUCAUUUCUUUGUAACAGCAACUAUAAAAACAAAUAAAUAGAUAAAAAUCAAACAUUUCUUGAGAAAAAUCGAAAAAUAAAAAUAUAAAAUUCUUACAUAUGGGUCUGGGUUUCCCUUAUCAUUAACGGAAAACAAAAUCUUUAACGCCGUUCCAAUACCAAGAACCUGAAGUUUCCCCCAAAGCCGACACUUCUCACACCCCACACAGUCCAUCAAUGCACUGCCACGUGUACAAAACACAAAAAAAAUAAAUAUGGAGUGGUAAAUGUAAAAAAAAAAAAAAAGAAUAAGUCAUAUGCCCCAAUGGUAAUAAGUUAAUAACCUCUUUAUUAGUUAUUUCAAAUAGUAUUAACCUCUAACAUAAGCUAUGCUGUAAUAAUUAUUUGACAUGAAAUGUUUUGUAUGUAUGUAUGUAUGUAUGUAUGUGUAUGUAGAGAAUUAACUAAAGAUGAAACCUGAUGUUUAGAAAUUGAUUUUGGAUUUGUUGCCUAAGCAUGGGCCCACCUUGACCUUGCCAUAAUUCAGCUUCAUUAAAUGGAAGUGCACAUGCAGCUUGUAAUUUGGGAUUAUGCACCAAUCUUCUUAUCAAUUCUCCCGCUUUCAUAUCCUCUAAAUCGUUCCCUGAAUCAUACUCCGCCUCAUUCAAAUAACCACCUGCCUGUAACAUCAAAAACUCACAUAUUUAAUUUUUUAUUUUUCUUCAAAAAAAAAAAAAAAAAAAGAAUCUCAAAAUUUGUUUAAAAAGGAAUGCUUACUUUUGUCACAGCUCUAAGAAUGAAUAAAAAAGUGAAGUAAAGAUUUUGCACGCGAUCAGGAUGUUUCAAUACUCGGUCACGCAUCAAUUUCAGAUUUGGACCCCGCUGUAAUUAAUUAAUUAAUUAAUUUUUUUUCAUAAUAAAUCUGACAUAAAGUUUUGUAAAUUACCUUAUUAUUUUUUAUGUCAAGAAGAUAAUCAGCAGCUAUGUGGAUUGAAAUUGAGGAGUGAAGACCCGAUAUUAGCUUGUAUAGUACUUUCUUCUCUGGGCACAUCUCCCCAUAUGCAUCUGUUAUUAAAAAAAAACACUUUUAUCUCUUGUCUGUGUAAAAGGACGGAAAUGCCCUCCCCAACAAUUAAUUAACUUACAUCUUGGACAAUGUUCCGAGUAUAUAGCAACCCAUAUUCUUCUAGCUGAUGGACCCGUGUAUCCAGUAUGAUGUUCGGGAUUUAAUUGCAGAUUCACAUACGUCAUUUCUUCUGUAAAUUUUGAAAAAGAAGUCAAUAAAAGUCAACUCCAAUAUCCUUAAGGUUAAAUAAUUACUAUUAUUACCAUUAUCAGUUUCAUCAUCAUGAGUCCAUGGAUUAUCGACUUCUACCCAGCCUUUAAAUGACUUGUCAUCUAGGGUUCGAUCCACAGUAGCUUCUGGUUUUCCCUCUUGACAUACAGGAUCAUCUUUUGGAAGAACAUUUAAUGAUGGUGUUUUAAAAGAUUCUGGGAAUUCAUGUUCUGGACACUCGCAUACAUUGCAAUCACGCAUUUUACACAUUCCAUCAUCAGGCCAGAAAGGGCAAUCACACCAUAAUUUAACCUGUUGGAGAUACAUGUAUGUAUGUAGAGUUAUAGAUUAUAGAUCAUGAUUAUAAAGUUAUAAUCAUAAUUUAGGUCAAAAAAAAAAAAGACCUUGAAGUAUCGGAAGAAGGGAGUGGUAACAAGCUCUUGUAACAAUGGAUGUAGAACUGCGCCAUUAAUAUCAUCAACACUUUCAAAGUCGCAACAACAGUCCUCAAUGAGGCCUGUGUAUUUACAGGUAUCCUGUUCAAAAAUUGAAAGAUUAAACAAACCAAAUUAGUUUCAAGUUCUUAAACUUGUGGAGUAACUAUGGUUUGCAAGAUGUAACGAUGAGGCUUUUAUCCCAAAUUAGUUGGAAUGGGAUUUGGGACACAAAUGAUCAUUGGAAAUUGAAAAGGAGAUAGAUGAAAGUAUGAAACAGGUUGUAACAUAAUGAAAUAGGUCUGAUAAAUUUCUGAACACAUUUCAAUGGUAGGAAUUUCAAAAGUAUGUUAACAAGAGAUCAAAGCAUAUCAGGUUCUAACUCCAUCAUAGAGUUCAAUUAGCUCAAACUUUAACCAAAAUUUUGAAUAGAAGAGCCACAUACAUCAUUUCACACACAUUGGUGAUGAAAAGAGCGAAAAUUCACAUGAUACAAUGGAUAUAAAAAACUAAGCUAUAGCUCGACCUAACUACUUCGAUAAGCUAUUGAAUUUCUCUGUAAUUGUCUGCGUAAUCAUAUAGAUACAUCAAUGCAUGCAUGCAUAUGAAGAGAACGAGAGAUUACCUCAGAACAGAGGUACGAUUUAUGGAGGAGAGAUAGAUUGAGAGAAUUCCGCCAAGGAUUGAGAGAUACGGCAACUAAAACUGUGAUCAUAGCUCCGAUAAUUCCCCAUCGCAUCCUUAGACGGUUCUUCUUCUUCUUAUCAUCGCCAUUACCACCCUCGUUCUCUUUACCAUCCACAUCCACCAUCAGCAAUCACUCGAUUUUACAGACCUAAAAAACCCCUAUCAACAAUAAUCCCCAAAACCCUAGCUUCUCUUGCACAAUUAGCGUAUGUACGUGAAGAAAUGAUCCAAAAUUGAUCGUCUCAAUCGCCACUUAUAAACAUAUUUUUUUCCGUAUGCAUUGAUAAUUUGAUAUACACUUUUUUUCUGUGGAUUGAUUUGAAACGCCGACGACGCAACGACAGAAAACAGCUUCUCGAACAAGAAACCCGUAGGGCGUAGGUCCUGGAAACGGCCAUGUCAAUUGUGAAAGGUGUAAAGAAGAAUUGCAGGGUAUGCACGUGUACGCAAGAGUUCGGUACACCUCACCACCACCCAAUCCCACCCCUUUGACGGAGUAGUAGUUUGUCUGUCAAAUAAGCCCAGUUCAUUUCCCUCAUGGGCCUUAAAUAUGGGCCUUAAAGUACUUUGCCAAUUAUAAAUAUUAAUUAAAUUAUUUGUUAUAGGCUAAAUAGCGAUCAAUUUUUUGUAUAUUUUAAUUUAGACUUUUGGUAAAUCAAUUAUUUUCAUAUAUAUUUUUUUUGGAGUAUUGAUAAUCUAAUUAUUCAUGAUUUCAUCUAUGUCACACACAAGACUUCAACCUCAUUGACAACACUUAAUAUUCUUGGAUUAGAAACCAUUUUGGUAAUUAAUUAUCUUUUAAGCAUUUGAGUUUAAUUUUAACUAGAAAGGUUACCCCCGUUACGCGUUACGCGGGGACCAUAAGAUUUCAAUAUUGUUUCCGAAUUGAUAAAUAUGACAGACGUAGAAAUGUAAGGAUGAAAAGCCCGGAGUUUGUCCCGGAUCGUUUUUUUCAUGUUUUUAUGAAAAAAUAUAAAAGUUUUGACUGCAAUGAUCAGAAGUUUCAAAACGGUUAAAGAAUUAAAAGGGUAGGAAUUAACAAAUUUUUAGAAAAGGGAUCAAAGUUGUCAAAUCGUUUUUUUCACGUAGAAAAUGUAAGGAUGAAAAGCCCGGAGUUUGUCCCGGACCGUUUUUAUGAAAAAAUAUAAAAGUUUUGACUGCAAUGAUCAGAAGUUUCAAAAUGGUUAAAGAAUUAAAGGGGUAGGAAUUAGCAAAUUUUUAGAAAAUGGAUCAAAGUUGUCAAACCGUUAAAGUUUUGUGGCCAAACUUUAAAUAUUAAAAGGUUCCUAAAAAAUGUAAAAAUAUUGAUUGUAAUGACUAAAAAUGUCAAAAUAGUUAAAGAAUGAGGAGCAAAGUGCAGGACCAUUUUUACCAAAAAAAAAUGCCAACUUUACUAUUCCUAAACUUAAUAUCUUUAAUAUAUAUAUUUUAAUGGUUUAAAUGAAACUAAAUCGAUAUGUGGUGACCAAUUUUAGAUAUUUUCAAAUUUAUGUGGUUUGCUUUUGGGUGCUUUUCGUAUACUUUAUUGUUAUUUUUUUUUUAAACGGUCCUAUUAUGUUUUUCGAUUCUAUCCAUUCAGUUCUUAAAGUUUUUUUUCGUGCUUUUUAAGGGAACAAAUUGGUUACUACCUGUUAAUCUAGCCCCCUUAACUUUUUUAUCCGGUUAAUAGAUGCAUGUGACUUUUAAUUAAUUAAAAAAAAUUAAUCCACUUCACCUCUCUCUCACACACACACAAAAACACACGAACCCAGAUGAUCCAUCCUCUUUCCCUCUUGUAACUCCUUUUAUUCACGCAUCUUUCUCAUUAUCUUGUAUGGAGAAGAUGAUGUUCUUGCGUGGUCUUCUUUUUUUUGCCCUUCACACCGUCUUCCUCGCCACCUCUAUAGAGCAGAGCUUCAUCUUCAAAAGAGAAACAUAUGUUGCAGGCCUUCAUCAAUGGAGUCUCAGCUAGCUUCCAUUCUGAUCUAAGGGAAAUCAAUAUACCCUCUAGAUGAAGUCUGAACCCAUGAAAACGAAGAAUAAUCGAGAUCUAUCUUCACAUCGCCACCGAAGAUCCAUCUCCACCACACCGGUAACAAACAUACAAAAAAAAAACCAAUAUGAAAUCUCGAUCGAAUCUCUCUCACUGAAAAUUUCGUUACUGAUGGUGUUCCAAACUUCAAUCGAUUCUCUCACUAGAGAUGGUGCCGAGGUGAUCGGGACUGAGUUGCUGUGGAGGGAUUUUCUGGGUUUUUAUUUUCUGUUUGUGUUCAUCUCUUCUAUGGAUUUUGGGGGUUUUGAGUUAACAUGGUUUGAUUUCAUGGAGCUUUCAUGUCUCUGUAUUGAAUUGAUUUCAUGUUUAUUUUGAUUACAUGUAUUAAGUAGAAAUGCAAAAUUUUGGUUUACUUGGUUAUGGUAUCAGAUCAUUAAAUUUGAUUUGAGGUUCAUCAAGUUUGAUUUUAAGGAUUAAUAGUCUAGUUCCUUAUUCCUUUUGGAUUGAAUCUGAUUUUCAGACGUGGUUUAAAUAUGGAUUUAUUUUGUAGAUAAUGGUAUUGUUUGAAUUAAUGGGGGUCUUUGUUUGUUUUUAAUUAAAAAUGUAUGUAUGUAUAUAGUUUGAGUUGCCUAAGCUGAGGAAUAAGAAGACCGGAGGUUAGGCACCUCGGGGUAGGUUGAGCACCCCGGUAUGCGCAACAGGGUAGGUCGGACACCUAGAUAUAUCUGACAGUAUGUGUUACGUAUGGUAUUUGGUAUGAUGGGGGAACUCACUAAGCUUUGUGCUUACAGUUUUCAGUUUUGGUUUCAUGUACCUUUUCGACGAAGAGGAAGAAGCUGGCACGGUAGCGGCACAUCGCGCACACAUGAUUUCCACAUUUGAGAUUCAUGGGAUUGUACUAUGAUAUUAUUACUAUUGAUGAUAUGACUUUUGAUACAUGUGAUUAUAGUUUUAU